AGAAAAGUGUGAGUCUUUGUCUCGAGAGUCUUCGGCGAGGAGGCUGAGGGAGGAGACUACGCCACAGUUGGAGAGGCUUCUAGUUGUAAACCCAAGAAACCCAGCGUCAGUGAUACUUGGCGCUGUUUUGCGGACAGCUAGCAAAACUAUUAACUGGUCGACUAAAUAUACUUUCUCUGGACUACAAUCACAGCAAUCCACAGACUGUAGUUUCCCUUUGUGAGCUGUGCUUUUGAACCGUCUGUACUAGUGUUUUUGCAGCAUCCUGAAGGAACUGGUGAACUGGACUCUUGAUUUUGGGUCAGAUUGAAGCAGUGGAGAGUGAAAAAUGAACCGGUGUUUAGCCGAUUUAAGCGCUGAGCCUGAUUAAGAAGAUUUUGUCGUCGAGGCCGAGGGCACCUCCGCAUGCGUGACUUCAUUUAUUUGAUAUGCAGCUGCACAGCAGCCCGUGAGCUUCAAACAGCCUCUGACAACCAAGUCCAGCUCCUGCCCUUCACAUGUGGCUUAGCUACUAAGCCCGAUGGAGCCAUUUCUACUGACAAGAAAAGGGGAAAAGGCGGGUUACCAGCACCUUAAAACCAAUUGCUUCGGACCGAUCGGGCUCACCUUCCAUGGCUGCAGCUCAUCUAGGUGAAGGAAAACUCUGAUCUCAAACCUCUGCCUCCUUGCGGCUAUACCCACUCAUGGGGAAGGCUUCAGGAGUCAAAAACGAGGAAAAAUUCAGAGCUGGUGUCCCUAAGGCAGUCCUACAUUGAAUUCAACGCUGACCGGCAACGACUGCGAUGCUGCUGGUGCCAAACUGUAUCAGUCUCUGCCGUUCAUUGGAUGCAUCAGCUGCAUGGGUAACAGCCUGCACUCCAUAUUGUACUGCCCUGGCUUGCUCACCAUGUAGAGAAUUGGGCACAACAUGGUAGACAGAGACUAACGGAGGGCCUCAGAUCAAAUGGCUGAUGUACUAAUAAGUUGGGAGGUUUGUGUACGUAAAGAGUCCGCUUCACAGUAUUAAUUGUGGGUACCUGGCAACUGUGUCUCCAAGAAACUUUAAGACCGUGUAAAAAGGUUAA